GCAAACUUGGUCAUUUAGAGGAAGUAAAAGUCGUAACAAGGUCUCCGUAGGUGAACCUGCGGAGGGAUCAUUAUGGAGUCCGUGCCUCCGGGCAGACCUCCCACCCGUGCCAUCCUACGACCGUUGCCUUGGCGGGCCGCCGGCCCCGCCGGCGUGCGCCCGCCCGAGGCCCCGCGGACCCUGGAUGUUGGUGCCGUCCGAGUGCCCUGGAAUCGUCAAAACUUUCAACAACGGAUCUCUUGGUUCUGGCAUCGAUGAAGAACGCAGC
rnacentral:misc_RNA from 1 species